CACCUCUCAGGGUCGUACCUGGAGAGUUUCCAGUACUCUACCAAGUCUCGACUAAGGGAGGGAGGGAGAGUCAAGCAGAGGCAUAUCCAUUCCAUUCCUAGCUUGGGCAGUGGUUAGCGAGUGGAAGGCAAUCUGCUACAAAG